rnacentral:tRNA from 1 species
AGCUCAGUUGGUAGAGUACUUGCCUCACAUGCAUAAUGCCCUGGGUUCAAUCCCCAG